AUGGCGACCCUCAUGUCAUGCGUUACUUCCAAAACGUUGGCGCCAUGCACACCAGAGGUUUCUCGGCAACAACGGGACACAUGUAUUUGGGUAUCAGCUCAUCGCCGGCAGAUCCGAAUCGGCUUAACCAUGAAGUCUUGGGGCACCAGCUGUACUGUUCCGCCGAUGCGGAUAAGAGGAGCAACACGAAUUACUGCAGUUGGUUCCGCUCCUGGAGAAUUGCUAGAAGAAAAAUCACCAAUACCCAACAAAGAGGCCGCAAUUAGUUCUGACCCUGGGGAAUUACCAGGAAAAUCCCCGCCGCCCAACAAAUCUUCAUUGGUAACGGUGGUCGUUGGUGGCGUCUUUGGAGCAGUAUCCUUUUACGGACAGAUGAGAGCAAUGGAAGAGAAUGUGGAGAAGACAGCAGAGGUAGCAAUCGAGACUAUCGAGAAAGCGGCGGAUGUGGUUGACAAACUUGCUGACGAAGUCAUAGCAUUUCCUGGUAAUGAAAACCUUAAGAAGGCAGCCUUCAGGAUCAAAGCCAUCGCGGGAGAGAUAGAGAAGGAUGCAGAGGAAGCCGAGGCCCUAAUCCACAAGGUUGAAGAGAUAGAAAAGGAGGUGGAUGCUGCAGUGGAUACUUUCAUGGGGAAGGGCAUGAAGAAGGGAUCGAGAUGA
rnacentral:rRNA from 1 species